CCGAAUGGGGAAACCCACCUCUUAGGAGGUAUCCUUAUCUGAAUACAUAGGAUUAGAGAAGCGAACCCGGAGAACUGAACCAUCUAAGUACCCGGAGGAAAAGAAAUCAACCGAGAUUCCGCAAGUAGUGGCGAGCGAACGCGGAGGAGCCUGUACGUAAUAACUGUCGAGAUAGAAGAACAAGCUGGGAAGCUUGACCAUAGUGGGUGAUAGUCCCGUAUUCGAAAUCUCAACGGUGGUACUAAGCGUACGAAAAGUAGGGCGGGACACGUGAAAUCCUGUCUGAAUAUGGGGGGACCAUCCUCCAAGGCUAAAUACUCAUCAUCGACCGAUAGUGAACCAGUACCGUGAGGGAAAGGCGAAAAGAACCCCGGGAGGGGAGUGAAAUAGAACCUGAAACCUGAUGCAUACAAACAGUGGGAGCACCCAUGUGGUGUGACUGCGUACCUUUUGUAUAAUGGGUCAACGACUUACAUUCAGUAGCGAGCUUAACCGAAUAGGGGAGGCGUAGGGAAACCGAGUCUUAAUAGGGCGAAGAGUUGCUGGGUGUAGACCCGAAACCGAGUGAUCUAUCCAUGGCCAGGUUGAAGGUGCCGUAACAGGUACUGGAGGACCGAACCCACGCAUGUUGCAAAAUGCGGGGAUGAGCUGUGGAUAGGGGUGAAAGGCUAAACAAACUCGGAGAUAGCUGGUUCUCCCCGAAAACUAUUUAGGUAGUGCCUCGAGCAAGACACUGAUGGGGGUAAAGCACUGUUAUGGCUAGGGGGUUAUUGCAACUUACCAACCCAUGGCAAACUAAGAAUACCAUCAAGUGGUUCCUCGGGAGACAGACAGCGGGUGCUAACGUCCGUUGUCAAGAGGGAAACAACCCAGACCGCCAGCUAAGGUCCCAAAUGAUAGAUUAAGUGGUAAACGAAGUGGGAAGGCCCAGACAGCCAGGAUGUUGGCUUAGAAGCAGCCAUCAUUUAAAGAAAGCGUAAUAGCUCACUGGUCGAGUCGUCCUGCGCGGAAGAUGUAACGGGGCUCAAAUCUAUAACCGAAGCUGCGGAUGCCAGUUUACUGGCAUGGUAGGGGAGCGUUCUGUAGGCCGAUGAAGGUGCAUUGUAAAGUGUGCUGGAGGUAUCAGAAGUGCGAAUGUUGACAUGAGUAGCGAUAAAGCGGGUGAAAAGCCCGCUCGCCGAAAGCCCAAGGUUUCCUACGCAACGUUCAUCGGCGUAGGGUGAGUCGGCCCCUAAGGCGAGGCAGAAAUGCGUAGUCGAUGGGAAACAGGUUAAUAUUCCUGUACUUGAUUCAAAUGCGAUGUGGGGACGGAGAAGGUUAGGUUAGCAAGCUGUUGGAAUAGCUUGUUUAAGCCGGUAGGUGGAAGACUUAGGCAAAUCCGGGUCUUCUUAACACCGAGAAGUGANGACGAGUGUCUACGGACAUGAAGUAACCGAUACCACGCUUCCAGGAAAAGCCACUAAGCUUCAGUUUGAAUCGAACCGUACCGCAAACCGACACAGGUGGGCAGGAUGAGAAUUCUAAGGCGCUUGAGAGAACUCGGGAGAAGGAACUCGGCAAAUUGAUACCGUAACUUCGGGAGAAGGUAUGCCCUCUAAGGUUAAGGACUUGCUCCGUAAGCCUCGGAGGGUCGCAGAGAAUAGGUGGCUGCGACUGUUUAUUAAAAACACAGCACUCUGCUAACACGAAAGUGGACGUAUAGGGUGUGACGCCUGCCCGGUGCUGGAAGGUUAAUUGAAGAUGUGAGAGCAUCGGAUCGAAGCCCCAGUAAACGGCGGCCGUAACGAUAACGGUCCUAAGGUAGCGAAAUUCCUUGUCGGGUAAGUUCCGACC
rnacentral:rRNA from 1 species